CUGAGGCUAAUUAACAAAAAAGUCCGAUUUUAACUGCGCAUCUUGAAAUACAUACAAAACGCUACCAACCGAAAUAUUGAAGAUGGGAGCGGGAUGGGAUUUUUUAUCAUCUUUAACAAAAUUGCAUUAUGAAGAGCUGUCGGAAUUAUAAGAAGGUCGUACUACGAUGAUGGAUCUUCUUCAUGCUUCGCCAUUCAAGGACCCGUUAAGCUUUCUCUCAGUGUCACAACACUACAUUUUAGGCAUUAAAAAUGUCUACGAGGACUGCCAACAAAAUCACUCCGAACUCAAAUUGGAUCUACAGUCAGAGGACUUCCUGGUAUAACCAUAUAGAUUCCAGAUCAGGUAUGUUUAAGGCUAUCAACCAAGAAAAUUCGAUGAAAUAUAUAAAAACAACCUACCAGCCAAAAUAUUGAAGAUGGAAGCGGAAAUUGUAUAUCAUCUUUGGCAAAAUGAAAUUCAAAAAAGAUUUCAGCAAAGCAUUGGCAUUAUGAAGAGCUGUCGGAAUUAUGAAGAAGUCUUGAUACGAUGACGGAUAUUCGUCGAUAUGUCUCGCAAUCCUCCCCAACUCGAAUUGAAUCUAUAGUCAGAGGCCUUCUCGGUAUGACAAAAUGAAAUUCGAAAAGAUUUCAUCAGGGCAUCGGUAUUAUGAAGUUAUGUCGGAAAUAUGAGGAGAUUUUGUUACGAUGAUGGCUCUUCUUCGUCAUGUUUCAAUAUAAAUUUAUUAUUGGUCACCCAUGUUUCGCCAUCCAAGGACCCGUUAAGCUCCCUCUCUAUCUCUCUCAAUGUCACAACACUUCAUUUUAGGCACUAAAAAUGUCUUCGAGGACCAAAAAAAUUUUCAUACCGAGCUCGAAUUAAAUCUACAGUCAGAGGCCUUCUUGGUAUGGCAAUGAAGAUUCC